GGAAAAUACAUAAACAUAUAAAUGACAGCUCCACUCUACACUUUAUCUCUGGGUUUCACACAUUUGUUUUCCUUUGCAAAUAUGAGGAAAAUUCAGAAUUUUAGUGAGAAAAAUUAUUGAUGGAAAAUAUUGCUUCCAUUUUUGGGCCUUUAGAAGAAUCCUAAAGUACCUAUUUUUCAAACCAUAAUGAGAGAAUUCCAAAUGCAAACUAAAGCAACCAUGCAGGCCUCUAGAGAGAAAGGGGAAUAUUAUUAUGUAUAGUCUAUCAUCAUUAUCAUCACCAAAUAGUCUUUGUUAAAGUCUUCAGGAUCACAAGGCAGUGGAGUGGUUAAAUUGGCAUUUCUGUCUCUUCCCAAGAGCUUGUAGUUUAAAUAGAAACAGAGCAGCAAAGACAAACACAUACAAGGUCAGGCUGACACCAACACUAAACAUUAACAUACUAAUUAAAAUAGAAUACAUCUCAUUACAGUUCAAUAAGAAUGGGAGGCAGGAAGAUGUAAUAUGAAAAAGUGCUAAAUUAGAGAGUCAAAAGACUUUGCAGCAUGCUGGGUGUACUGCUUUGAGCAAGUCACUCCUAAGGUUAAAACACUUGGUAAGACUUGGAGGAGGUAGUUUGGAAUAGUGAACCAAAGACAGAAUCUGGAGUCAGGAAACCACUCAACUUCUGUAACCAUGGUGAGAUGGUAUCUUCUGGUUAUAAUAGAUAGUCUUCUCUGUUUCUAAAAAUAAAGAAACUGAGGUUUAGGAAAGGCAACUGCUAGCUCAUCCAUUAUUUGAUUGGAAGACGGGGAACACCCGACAAAAUUAAGAGCAGAGAGAAAUAUUAAUGAAUGGAAUUACAAGAAGUUGACCUCAGGGAAAUCGGAAGGUACACAUCCAGAUGGCUGGUUCCUGCCUUAACUGAUGACAUUCCACCACAAAGAAGUGAAAAUGGCCUGUUCCUGCCUUAACUGAUGACACUGUCUUGUGAAAUUCCUUCUCCUGGCUCAUCCUGGCUCAAAAGCUCCCCUGCUGAGCACCUUGUGACCCCCACUCCAGCCCUCCAGAGAACAACCCCCUUUGACUGUAAUUUUCCUUUAUCCACCCAAAUCCUAUAAAAUGGCCCCACCCUUAUCUCCCUUCGCUGACUCUCUUUUCGGACUCAGCCCGCCUGC
rnacentral:lncRNA from 10 species